ACGCUGGCGGCAGGCUUAACACAUGCAAGUCGAGCGGUAACAGAGAGUAGCUUGCUACUUUGCUGACGAGCGGCGGACGGGUGAGUAAUGCUUGGGAAUAUGCCUUAUGGUGGGGGACAACAGUUGGAAACGACUGCUAAUACCGCAUAAUGUGCUUACUGUGGUGGUAAGUACCAAAGGGGGGGAUCUUCGGACCUCUCGCCAUUUGAUUAGCCCAAGUGAGAUUAGCUAGUUGGUGAGGUAAUGGCUCACCAAGGCGACGAUCUCUAGCUGGUUUGAGAGGAUGAUCAGCCACACUGGGACUGAGACACGGCCCAGACUCCUACGGGAGGCAGCAGUGGGGAAUAUUGCACAAUGGGCGAAAGCCUGAUGCAGCCAUGCCGCGUGUGUGAAGAAGGCCUUCGGGUUGUAAAGCACUUUCAGUUGUGAGGAAAGGGUGUUGUUUAAUAUGCAACAUCUGUGACGUUAACAACAGAAGAAGCACCGGCUAACUUCGUGCCAGCAGCCGCGGUAAUACGAGGGGUGCAAGCGUUAAUCGGAAUUACUGGGCGUAAAGCGUUCGUAGGCGGUCUAUUAAGCAAGAUGUGAAAGCCCCGGGCUCAACCUGGGAACGGCAUCUGGAACUGCUUGGCUAGAGUGCAGGAGAGGAAGGUAGAAUUCCCGGUGUAGCGGUGAAAUGCGUAGAGAUCGGGAGGAAUACCAGUGGCGAAGGCGGCCUUCUGGACUGAGCACUGACACUGAGGUGCGAAAGCGUGGGUAGCAAACAGGAUUAGAUACCCUGGUAGUCACACCGCCGUAUAACGAUGUCAACUAGCCGUUGGGCUCCUUGAGGACUUAGUGGCGCAGCUAACGCAGCAAGUUGACCGCCUGGGGAGUACGGCCGCAAGGUAAAACUCAAAUGAAUUGACG
rnacentral:rRNA from 1 species